rnacentral:rRNA from 1 species
GAGANGGAGAGUAGCUACACACGUGCUACAAUGGGCAGAACAAAGGGCAGCGAAACCGCGAGGUUAAGCCAAUCCCACAAAUCUGUUCUCAGUUCGGAUCGCAGUCUGCAACUCGACUGCGUGAAGCUGGAAUCGCUAGUAAUCGCGGAUCAGCAUGCCGCGGUGAAUACGUUCCCGGGCCUUGUACACACCGCCCGUCACACCACGAGAGUUUGUAACACCCGAAGUCGGUGAGGUAACCUUUUAGGAGCCAGCCGCCGAAGGUGGGACAGAUGAUUGGGGUGAAGUCGUAACAAGGUAG